rnacentral:rRNA from 1 species
AGCUCCAAUAGCGUAUAUUAAAGUUGUUGCGGUUAAAAGCUCGUAGUUGGAUUUCUGUUGAGGACAUCCGGUCCAUCUUUCGGGUGAGUAUCUGGUAUGGCCUUGGCAUCCUCAUGGAGAACUGUGCUGCACUUGAUUGUGUGGUCAGCAAUUCAUGACUUUUACUUUGAGGAAAUUAGAGUGUUCACGGCAGGCAAACGUCUGAAUACAUUAGCAUGGAAUAAUAAUAUAGGACCUUGGUUCUAUUUUGUUGGUUUCUAGGACUAAGGUAAUGAUUAAUAGGGACAAUUGGGGGCAUUCGUAUUAACGUGUCAGAGGUGGAAUUCUUGGAUUACGUUACGACGAACUACUGCGAAAGCAUUUGCCAAGGA